rnacentral:rRNA from 1 species
UACGUAGGGUGCGAGCGUUGUCCGGAAUUAUUGGACGUAAAGAGCUUGUAGGCGGUUUGUCGCGUCUGCUGUGAAAUCUCAAGGCUCAACCUUGAGCUUGCAGUGGGUACGGGCAGACUAGAGUGUGGUAGGGGAGACUGGAAUUCCUGGUGUAGCGGUGAAAUGCGCAGAUAUCAGGAGGAACACCGAUGGCGAAGGCAGGUCUCUGGGCCACUACUGACGCUGAGAAGCGAAAGCAUGGGGAGCGAACAGG